CCCCAGGGCGCGCGGAGCCGGCGGGUGGCGACUCAGGACAUCCGCCGGGACGCAGGGGCACAGGGUCCGGGGCCUGGGAGACCGAGGCAGCGGGGAGGGCGGCGAGGAACGAAGCCUUCGAAGGGCAUCACUCUGAAUUUGGAUGAGAUCUUCCUGCAUUAGUGAGCUGGAUAUCGAGGCAGAGUGGAGCAAAGCACAUAACCCAUGUUCUGAAUUCCCUCCAGCCCCAGAGCCGGAAGCAAAAGACCCCACUGCUCUUAUUUUCACCCCAGACAUUUCUGAGGUGCUUGUCCUCCAGUCAAGAGCUUCAUGUUGGAUGUUCUAUGCUGACUCACCCUGUCUUAGAGCAAUUCUCUCAUCUGUACAUCAAGAUUGGACAUACUUUACUAUCUUACCAACCAAGCCCAAAAGAUAUGAGAAUGCUAUGUCUUCAGAAAUUAAUAAACAUAUCUAGUGUUACAAGU